GGAAGAAGCUUGCUUCUUCUGAUGGCGACCGGCGCACGGGUGCGUAACGCGUAUCAAACCUGCCUCAUACUCGGGGAUAGCCUUGCGAAAGUAAGAUUAAUACCCGAUGUUAUUAGUUUACCGCAUGGUGGGCUAAUCAAAGAUUUAUCGGUAUGAGAUGGUGAUGCGUCCGAUUAGGUAGUAGGCGGGGUAACGGCCCACCUAGCCUUCGAUCGGUAGGGGUUCUGAGAGGAAGGUCCCCCACACUGGAACUGAGACACGGUCCAGACUCCUACGGGAGGCAGCAGUGAGGAAUAUUGGUCAAUGGACGGAAGUCUGAACCAGCCAAGUAGCGUGCAGGAUGACGGCCCUCCGGGUUGUAAACUGCUUUUAGUUGGGAAUAAAAAAAGGGACGUGUCCCUUAUUGUAUGUACCUUCAGAAAAAGGACCGGCUAAUUCCGUGCCAGCAGCCGCGGUAAUACGGAAGGUCCAGGCGUUAUCCGGAUUUAUUGGGUUUAAAGGGAGCGUAGGCGGAUUGUUAAGUCAGCGGUUAAAGGGUGUGGCUCAACCAUACAUUGCCGUUGAAACUGGCGAUC
rnacentral:rRNA from 1 species